AUUGAACGCUGGCGGCAGGCCUAACACAUGCAAGUCGAGCGGCUGAAGGGAGCUAGCUCCUGGUUUCAGCGGCGGAGGGGCGGGUAAUGCCUAGGAAUCUGCCUGGCUGCGGGGUAUAACGUCCGGACACGGGCGCUCAUACCGCAUUCGUCCUGACGGCGUACGUGGGGGAUCUUCGGAUCUUACGCCCUCAGACGAGCCUAGGUCGGAUUAGCUAGUUGGCGGGGUAACGGCCUACAAAGGCACCGACCCGUCACUGGUCUGAGAGUAUGAUAAGUCACACGGGAACGGAGACACGGUCCGAACUCCAACGGGAGGAAGCAGGGGGAAAUAUUGAACAAGGGGCGAAGGCCUGUUCCGGCCAAGCCGCGGGUGGGAAGAAGGUCUUCGGAUGGUAAAGCACUUUGAGUUGAGAGAAAGGGCAGUAAGUUAUUACCUUGCUGUUUUGACGUUACCAACAGAAUAAGCACCGGCUAACUUCGU
rnacentral:rRNA from 1 species